GUGAUAUUCCCUCUGGUUCCAAUUACUUGUCUUAGAUUUGUCUAGAUGCGGAUGUAUCUAACACUAAAACAUGUCUAGAUAAAUUCAUAUCUAGACAAAUCCAAGACAAGUAAUAUGAACCGGAGGGAGUACAAA
rfam:Hordeum vulgare subsp. vulgare, WGS project CAJW01000000 data, contig: morex_contig_2547662